rnacentral:rRNA from 1 species
UACAGGGGGUGCAAACGUUGCUCGGAAUUAUUGGGCGUAAAGCGCGCGUAGGCGGCUACUUAAGUCGGAUGUGAAAGCCCCUGGCUCAACUGGGGAAGUGCACCCGAAACUGAGUGGCUUGAGUACUAAAGAGGGUCGCGGAAUUCCCGGUGUAGAGGUGAAAUUCGUAGAUAUCGGGAGGAACACCGGUGGCGAAGGCGGCGACCUGGGUAGAUACUGACGCUGAGGUGCGAAAGCGUGGGGAGCAAACAGG